rnacentral:rRNA from 1 species
UUGAACGCUGGCGGCAGGCCUAACACAUGCAAGUCGAGCGGUAACACAGAGAGCUUGCUCUCGGGUGACGAGCGGCGGACGGGUGAGUAAUGUCUGGGAAACUGCCUGAUGGAGGGGGAUAACUACUGGAAACGGUAGCUAAUACCGCAUAACGUCGCAAGACCAAAGUGGGGGACCUUCGGGCCUCAUGCCAUCAGAUGUGCCCAGAUGGGAUUAGCUAGUAGGUGGGGUAACGGCUCACCUAGGCGACGAUCCCUAGCUGGUCUGAGAGGAUGACCAGCCACACUGGAACUGAGACACGGUCCAGACUCCUACGGGAGGCAGCAGUGGGGAAUAUUGCACAAUGGGCGCAAGCCUGAUGCAGCCAUGCCGCGUGUGUGAAGAAGGCCUUCGGGUUGUAAAGCACUUUCAGCGGGGAGGAAGGCGGUGAGGUUAAUAACCUCAUCGAUUGACGUUACCCGCAGAAGAAGCACCGGCUAACUCCGUGCCAGCAGCCGCGGUAAUACGGAGGGUGCAAGCGUUAAUCGGAAUUACUGGGCGUAAAGCGCACGCAGGCGGUCUGUCAAGUCGGAUGUGAAAUCCCCGGGCUCAACCUGGGAACUGCAUUCGAAACUGGCAGGCUAGAGUCUUGUAGAGGGGGGUAGAAUUCCAGGUGUAGCGGUGAAAUGCGUAGAGAUCUGGAGGAAUACCGGUGGCGAAGGCGGCCCCCUGGACAAAGACUGACGCUCAGGUGCGAAAGCGUGGGGAGCAAACAGGAUUAGAUACCCUGGUAGUCCACACGGUAAACGAUGAAUACUCGCUGUUUGCGAUAUACAGCAAGCGGCCAAGCGAAAGCGUUAAGUAUUCCACCUGGGGAGUACGCCGGCAACGGUGAAACUCAAAGGAAUUGACGGGGGCCCGCACAAGCGGUGGAGCAUGUGGUUUAAUUCGAUGCAACGCGAAGAACCUUACCUGGUCUUGACAUCCACAGAACUUUCCAGAGAUGGAUUGGUGCCUUCGGGAACUGUGAGACAGGUGCUGCAUGGCUGUCGUCAGCUCGUGUUGUGAAAUGUUGGGUUAAGUCCCGCAACGAGCGCAACCCUUAUCCUUUGUUGCCAGCGGUUCGGCCGGGAACUCAAAGGAGACUGCCAGUGAUAAACUGGAGGAAGGUGGGGAUGACGUCAAGUCAUCAUGGCCCUUACGACCAGGGCUACACACGUGCUACAAUGGCAUAUACAAAGAGAAGCGACCUCGCGAGAGCAAGCGGACCUCAUAAAGUAUGUCGUAGUCCGGAUUGGAGUCUGCAACUCGACUCCAUGAAGUCGGAAUCGCUAGUAAUCGUAGAUCAGAAUGCUACGGUGAAUACGUUCCCGGGCCUUGUACACACCGCCCGUCACACCAUGGGAGUGGGUUGCAAAAGAAGUAGGUAGCUUAACCUUCGGGAGGGCGCUUACCACUUUGUGAUUCAUGACUGGGGUG